AUUGAACGCUGGCGGCAUGCCUUACACAUGCAAGUCGAACGGCAGCACGGGAGCAAUCCUGGUGGCGAGUGGCGAACGGGUGAGUAAUAUAUCGGAACGUGCCCGGUCGUGGGGGAUAACGUAGCGAAAGCUACGCUAAUACCGCAUACGAUCUACGGAUGAAAGCGGGGGAUUGCAAGACCUCGCGCGAUUGGAGCGGCCGAUAUCAGAUUAGGUAGUUGGUGAGGUAAAGGCUCACCAAGCCGACGAUCUGUAGCUGGUCUGAGAGGACGACCAGCCACACUGGGACUGAGACACGGCCCAGACUCCUACGGGAGGCAGCAGUGGGGAAUUUUGGACAAUGGGCGCAAGCCUGAUCCAGCAAUGCCGCGUGCAGGAUGAAGGCCUUC
rnacentral:rRNA from 1 species